GGCGGACGGGUGAGUAACACGUGAGCAACCUGCCUUUCAGAGGGGGAUAACGGCUGGAAACGGUCGCUAAUACCGCAUGACGUGUUCGGAUGGCAUCAUCUGAACAUCAAAGAUUUAUCGCUGAAAGAUGGGCUCGCGUCUGAUUAGAUAGUUGGUGGGGUAACGGCCUACCAAGUCGACGAUCAGUAGCCGGACUGAGAGGUUGAACGGCCACAUUGGGACUGAGAUACGGCCCAGACUCCUACGGGAGGCAGCAGUGGGGAAUAUUGCACAAUGGGGGAAACCCUGAUGCAGCAACGCCGCGUGAAGGAUGACGGUUUUCGGAUUGUAAACUUCUUUUCUUAGUGACGAAGACAGUGACGGUAGCUAAGGAAUAAGCAUCGGCUAACUACGUGCCAGCAGCCGCGGUAAUACGUAGGAUGCAAGCGUUAUCCGGAUUUACUGGGUGUAAAGGGAGCGCAGGCGGGACUGCAAGUUGGAUGUGAAAUACCGUGGCUUAACCACGGAACUGCAUCCAAAACUGUAGUUCUUGAGUGAAGUAGAGGCAAGCGGAAUUCC
rnacentral:rRNA from 1 species